UUGCCUUCUCCGGAGGAGAGACCUAGAGUUUACUAAAAAAACAGGUACAAAUGUAGGUCUCCCCUAAAAAUGAAGUGGUAUAAAGCCGACUUUCGGGGGGUACUUGUAAUGUGGUGAACCCAGCCUUCUGCUGGAUCCAGUCUGAGAACAGAAGGAAGAGAAGGGUAGGGAAAGGAGCUUAGAGCAGAGGGCGGAGACAGAGUAAAAUAAAGCAGUGCAAAAGAAAAGAAAAGAAGGGAAACACAGCAGGUAGAAAGGUACAGAAGGGUGAUUGGCCCAAAAUGAAGAUGGUAAUUGACCCAGGCUGUCAGCCAGUGGCAGGCGGUGAGAGCGGAGGAAGACGUGCCAGAACUGAGCAGAGGAAAACUCGCAUUUCUACACAUCCUGACCUGUGAGGAGGUGAUGCUGUUACAGCACGAAAGGGCUAUCUUUGCUACUGUACAUGUUUCAGGAUUUCUGAGUAUGAAGUUCACCAGAAGGUAGACAGGCCAGCAGGAGAAAAGGCAGUUUGCAUAAUGAAAUUCUCAGCAGAAAUUUGAAACCCUAGCCUCAUUUGAUCAUCCUCCACUCAACUUUUAAAUAUCAUCAUCACCACCGUGUACUAAUAAUAGUGUAUAUCUUCAAUAAAAGAAUAAAAUGCA